ensembl:processed_transcript Gm20319 predicted gene, 20319
AGUAAGCUUCAAAACACUGGACCUGGGCAGAUAUCAACCCUCUAAGAGUUGGGGAAGAGCUACAAGGUCACUGAGGUAAUGCAAAAGUUCCUGCCCUCAGCAAUGACGGGGAAUGGAGAAUGGCUAGAAGAUGGAGUGUCUUGAAAGGUUUAUGCCCUUAGAGGACAAUACAAGAUUCCUAUUAAUGAAACACUGAUGAUGAUGAUGAUGACUAUGAUGAUGAUGACGAUGACAAUGACGAUAAUGGUGAGGACAAUGACAAUGACAGUGAUGAUGAUGGGAAGAUGAUGACGACGACAAAACAAUACCACCACAUGAGUAAUUACAGAUUUUAGAAGUUCACAUUUAUUGUAUAAUUUUACCCUUACAACAAUUCAAUGAGGUAGAUAUUAUUUCCACUUUACAUGAAGAGACUGAGAAUUUGAGAGCAAACAUGUGCUAUUGAAAUGCACAUUCACUACAGUAAAUGUUAUCCCAAAGCAUACACCCUGACUCCAAAGUAAUUUUGUAUACAAUAUAAAGCUUACAAUGG